UAAAAGGGUGCUUGCUCUACGUUUAUAUGGCACAUCUGGACGUGUUUCCGAUGGAAAUGCGAUCAGGUGAGGUAUGGUUAUCAAGACAUACUUAGCACGUAAUUUUUAAUAAGUGGGCUUUGUGGCCGU